CAAACACACACACCGGACACACACACCACAAAGACCAAAGAGGAAAGGGAACACACAAUAAGUCAUUUAGAACAUAUUUGGUAAAGGGCUAAAUUCCCUUUUAUGGAAACAGCUCUUUAAAAGCCAACAGAAAAAGACAAUUUCCUCAAUCGUCCUGGCUCAAAAUGAGCCAAGAAUUCAAGCAGACAAUCUACUCAAAAGGAAUCCAUUUCCUCUCUUGGCCACACAUCAGUUGUCUGAAAACAGUUGGCCUGUGGCGAUGCCUCACUCCAACUGCCACACUGAUCCACACAUCUUGUGUCCAAAGCAGAACACAAGUGUCCAUGGGAGGUUGCACAACACAGAGCCAAGAGAUGCCUGUGUCCUCCACUGAGCAUUCCACAGGGGAAGGGGCCUGGUAAAAGGAAAAGGAUGGAGGCAGUGUUUGUUGAGCGCUGUGGUGGGUGUGAACCCACAAGCCCGCAGGGGAACCAGAACUCUCAUGGGCUCCUUCAGGGCUGGGGUGGGGCCUCUUAGAGGUCCCAGGGCCUGUGCACGGGCCCCCAUGGCAUAGGGACAGGAGGCAGCCCUCCUCUCCUCUUGGCAUAGUUCCUCCCCCCGUCAAUGUUCACAUCACCAAACACAUUCUGUCUAAGGUGGGGUCAUCAGGACCACAGGCACUGGUUGCUCUGGGAACUACUGCCUCAUAGCAUUUUAUUUUGCUCAUGACUCAAGAUAAUCAGGAUUUUAGGAAAGACCCAGCUAGGAAGGUCCCAGGAGGUGCAGGCCGGGAGUGGCUGGGACCACCAUCAUCUACACCAUGACUGGGCUCCCUGAUAAUGAGGAGGGGGUUUUAUAAUGGAUUUAUUCAGAGGUAAUUCA
rnacentral:lncRNA from 1 species